rnacentral:rRNA from 1 species
AUUGAACGCUGGCGGCAUGCCUUACACAUGCCAGUCGAACGGCAGCACGGGUGCUUGCACCUGGUGGCGAGUGGCGAACGGGUGAGUAAUACAUCGGAGCAUGUCCUGUAGUGGGGGAUAGCCCGGCGAAAGCCGGAUUAAUACCGCAUACGAUCUACGGAUGAAAGCGGGGGACCUUCGGGCCUCGCGCUAUAGGGUUGGCCGAUGGCUGAUUAGCUAGUUGGUGGGGUAAAGGCCUACCAAGGCGACGAUCAGUAGCUGGUCUGAGAGGACGACCAGCCACACUGGGACUGAGACACGGCCCAGACUCCUACGGGAGGCAGCAGUGGGGAAUUUUGGACAAUGGGCGAAAGCCUGAUCCAGCAAUGCCGCGUGUGUGAAGAAGGCCUUCGGGUUGUAAAGCACUUUUGUCCGGAAAGAAAUCCUUGGCCCUAAUACGGUCGGGGGAUGACGGUACCGGAAGAAUAAGCACCGGCUAACUACGUG